GUGUCCAGGCACUGUGUAAGGCAUUGAGCAUCCACUGGUGAGGGAGAUGAGGAAUAAGUAAAUGUAAAAUAAACUUGCAUGAUAUUUACAAAGUAUGAAAAGUCCCAUGAAGCAAAUAAUGAGUAAAAGUAAAGACUAAAGUUUUAUUUACAGGCCUCCUAAUCCCACCAAAGGGCCCAGUAUUCCCAGAUUACUAUUUUUUUUUCUGCUUAAACAAUGGAAAUUUAUUUCUCAUAGUUCUGGAGACUGAGAAGUCCAAGAUCAAAGCACCAGCAGACCCAGUGUCUGAUUAGGGCACUCUUUCUGGUUUGCAGACAGUUGCCUUCUCAUUUCCUCACAGGGCAGAGAGAGACAGACUUGUAAGGGCACCAACUCCCUUCAUGAAGGCCUUACCCACAUGGCCUAAUUACCUCCGAAAGGGAGAGUAUUGGGGAUUAGGAUUUCAACAUAUGAAUUUUGGAGAGACACAUUUGGUCUAACUUUCUUCCCCUUCCUUUUCAAAUGCAAACUACAUUAAUUCCAACCCAACAGUUCUCAAAUUCUUAACCUGUUCCAGUAUCAACUAUAAAGUCUAAAGCCCAAAGUAUCAUCCAAAAUAUCCUCUAAAUGAGAUAUAGGUGAGAGUGAGGUAGACUCAUCCUGAGGCAAACUGCUCAGCUGUGAACCUGUGGAACCAGACAAUUUAUGUGCUUCCACAAAAAUACAGUGCUGAGACAGGCACAGGACAUUCCCAUUCCAAAAGAGAGAAGUAGAAUAGAAGGAAGGGGUAAUGGAUCCCAAGUAAGUCUAAAACCCCCAAGGCCAAUUACCUGAACUCUUAAGAAUAAUCCUGUUUGGCUCAAUGCUCUGCUUUCCAGACCCACUGGGGUGGCAGGCCAGUCUCCACCUCAGAAAGGUGUGGUGGAGGGGGGGGGGGUAUCCAGCAUGCCUGAGGCUCCAGGAAGCCCUACCCCAUGUAAGAUCACUCUCUGUCCCUUUCAUAAGCCCAUCUUAAAUCAUUCAUAUUUUUUUUAGGGUAUAGAUUUUUGUUGUUGUUGUUGUUGUUAAUUUAAAAACACCUCUUAAUGGUAGAAUCUUAUUUACUGGAAAAGCAUUGCAAAUAAGGAAAUCUUGAGAUCUAGAGGAAUCUAUGUGGCAAAGAUUCAGCUUAAACAAGUCCUCAGGAUGGCUUCCAUUCCUUCUGGUUCUUGAGCUAAUCCCAGGGGUGUUUAGUAUUUUUUUUUUAAUCUUUGACAGGAGUUAUACUUAGUGUAUAUGUCUUAAUUUAUGCAUUUAUUUAUCUUUUAAUAGGUCCAGAACUGCUGAAGACUCACAUCUUGGAUAAUGAGAGACCUAUGGCUUUACAAAUAACUCAAUGGAUAUCUGUCUUCUCCAUGAGGCUGAAGACUGAAGGAAUCACAUCUGUCUUUUGAUUUUUAAAUCCCCAGUGUCUAGCAGAGCGCUUGAUAUGUGGUAGAAGCUCAUUAUAUAUUGGUUGAGUAAAUGCAUGAAAAAAAAAAAUAGAAUACCCAUACUCAAGGAUGUUUUGGCUUAGAAUUGAUUCACUAUCUCAAAUGCAGCUGGAUUGUUGCCAUUGAUUUCUAGGGAUAUUUUAGCCUGAUGAGUGAAAAAGCUUGAGGGGGCACUUGUUUCCAAAAAAGAUCUAAUUUAUCCUCUUCCCUUCCAUUCCUGACCAGUUUGCAACUUCUUUUCACCAUAUGCAAUCCUUAUUAAGUUUAAAAAGUCUCAGAAUUUCCUAGUAGCUUGAUACUUUCAAAUAUAACUCCUAUCAUAGGAAAUAUUAGAAAAAUUAUAGAAUGUACCCCUGCCCUCCCCCCACCACCUUCUUUUGAGACCUACUACCUUUCUUCUUUAGGUUGCAAUCUGGAUUUCUCAAAAGUCUGCUAAAGUUUUAUUUGGCCUAUAGUUUGCAUGGAUCCUCCCCACAUGUUUUCUACCCCACCCUCAAAUAAGGCCAACACAGGUUGACUUUUGCUUAAGCUAAUUUUCAUCUCUGUGCAAUAAUUAAAAUUUAUUCACCAGAGAUUAUGACCAAUAAACACCACUAACUUUAAACCAUAUCCUUACUCCUGUCCAAUACAUCCCAAAGUUUGUUGAGUUGACGAGUAUUAAUUUAUUCAUUCAUGUUCCCACUUGUGCAUCUAAAUUUAGACACAUUUAUUUGGUCAUAGGAAAAUUAUAGUGAGAGAAAGGUUAGGGUGUAAUGGAUUAAACAUGCAACAUUUAGGUUUUAAGGAAAUUCUUCAAAUACUAACCCAACCAAGAACUCAAGCACAGGAUCAGUGUCAUUAGUUAGAACGAGCGAAUAGACAAUGAGCUGACCAAUUAUAAAGAUUAUUCUUGAAUUUUAUAAUGAAAUACUCUUUGCUUCUUGUCCAUAUCCUUAGUAAAAUUGUACGGAGACUGCAGAGCAGGUGCUCAACAGGACUGAGAUGACAGAGACAUGGGAGACCACAAUAAUGUGCAGCUUCCCUGGCUCUCAGCUGAAGGAGAGAAGAUCUCCUCAGGAAGAAGUUUAACACCUGGGGAAAAAAGAGGAUGUGGAUCCAAACUGAAUACCAGGCUUUAUAUACCUGUCUGAGCCUCAGUGUCAUAACCUAUAAAAUGAACAUAUUGAGUUGAUGUAACAAAUAAAUGCUCUUAUCUCAGUACUUACUGUAUAUUUAAACACUAUGACUUGGUGCCAUUAUAAUGAUUAUUAUUCCUUUUGUUAAUAAUAGCCAUCCUUUGGGGCACCUGGUUCUCUCAGUCUAUUGGG